rnacentral:misc_RNA from 1 species
AAUUCUCAAAACCCCUUCCUUUGCCGGAAAGGAUUUUGGACUUGGAGGCCUUUUGCUGGUUUCACCUCGAAGCGAGCUCCUCCUAAAUGGAUUAGUGGGGUCUGCUUUGCCGAUCCUUGACGUGAUAAGAUGCUUCUACGUCUUGGGUUUUGGCACUGUGCCUCUGCUUCUAAUCGUCUCAUCGACAACGAUGGUGUUCCGGUCACCGCCGAUUCUUCGGUUGGGAGGCUUGACCCACAAAACGA